UACGAAGGGGGCUAGCGUUGCUCGGAAUCACUGGGCGUAAAGCGCACGUAGGCGGCUUUUUAAGUCAGAGGUGAAAUCCUGGAGCUCAACUCCAGAACUGCCUUUGAUACUGAGAGGCUUGAGUCCGGGAGAGGUGAGUGGAACUGCGAGUGUAGAGGUGAAAUUCGUAGAUAUUCGCAAGAACACCAGUGGCGAAGGCGGCUCACUGGCCCGGAACUGACGCUGAGGUGCGAAAGCGUGGGGAGCAAACAGG
rnacentral:rRNA from 1 species